UUCGGGGUCCAUACCACGUUGGAAGUACCGAUCCUCGUCCGAUCACCGAAGUUAAGCAACGUUGAGCCCGGUUAGUACUUGGAUGGUUGACUGGCUGGGAAUAGAGGGUGUUACCGGCU
rfam:Trichobilharzia regenti genome assembly, scaffold: TRE_scaffold0078205